rnacentral:rRNA from 1 species
GCUUACGGCCACACCACCCUGAACACGCCUGAUCUCGUCCGAUCUCUGAAGCUAAGCAGGGCAGGGCCUGGUUAGUACUUGGAUGGGAGACCGCCUGGGAAUACCAGGUGCUGUAAGUU